GCUAUCCGGCUGGGACUAAGCCAUGCUAGUCUAGGGGCUCCUUCGGGAGCACCGGCGGACGGCUCAGUAACACGUGGACAACCUGCCCUCGGGUGGGGGAUAACCCCGGGAAACUGGGGCUAAUCCCCCAUAGGUGAUGGGUGCUGGAAUGCCCCCUCUCCGAAAGCGCUCAGCGCCCGAGGAUGGGUCUGCGGCGGAUUAGGUAGUUGGUGGGGUAACGGCCCACCAAGUCUAAGAUCCGUACGGGCUGUGGGAGCAGGAGCCCGGAGAUGGACCCUGAGACAAGGGUCCAGGCCCUACGGGGCGCAGCAGGCGCGAAACCUCCGCAAUGCGGGAAACCGCGACGGGGUUAGCCGGAGUGCCCGUGCAUCGCACGGGCUGUCGGGGUGCCUAAACAGCACCCCAUAGCAAGGGCCGGGCAAGGCCGGUGGCAGCCGCCGCGGUAAGACCGGCGGCCCGAGUGGCGGCCACUCUUAUUGGGCCUAAAGCGUCCGUAGCCGGCUCAGUAAGUCCCCCGGGAAAUCUGGUCGCUUAACGAUCAGACUUCCGGGGGAUACUGCUGAGCUAGGGACCGGGAGAGGCCGAGGGUAUUCCCGGGGUAGGGGUGAAAUCCUGUAAUCCCGGGAGGACCACCUGUGGCGAAGGCGCUCGGCUGGAACGGGUCCGACGGUGAGGGACGAAGGCCUGGGGAGCGAACC
rnacentral:rRNA from 1 species